UCCCUUCGCAUUGUCUCGCCUCCGCGUGAAAUCGAAACUGAUCAUUCUUAGCCAUCUUGAAACUGAGUGUUAAACUUUCUAGAACAUUAUUUUCGAGUAAUCCUCGGUGUAUUUUAGAACAGUCGUCGCGUGAAUCGGAACUACGCCCGCGGCAAGUGCAAGACACGGACUCGUUUUUGCAACUUGUUGAUUUGUGAUUCUCGAGCCCUUACGCAUGAUGUCCUGCCUUUGAGUGAUCUGAAUUGAAUUCUUACUCUAAGAAGUUUCGUCGUUCGUCGUAAUGUGCGAAUCGCCGGAUUAUCGUGUUUCUCGGAAACUCUUCGGUCGCGUGUGAAUUCGCAGCUCGAGUCAAAAUUCGCCUGCGGCAAAUAGAAGGGUCGGCCAUUUUUCCAUUCAUUAUUCCGGCACUUGUUGACUUAUGACUCGUGGGUCCCAAGCCGUGUCUCUUGAUGUCCUGUUUUUGAGAUUGUUAAUUAUCGAUUGAUUUUUGUCGUGUAAUGGAAAAAGUGAAUUGCCGGUACUCCAGUGCGGUUUUCGGGUUCGUGUCGGUUUGUGUGAACUUUUUGUGCGAAUCGUUUGAUAAACUUUGGUCGCGGUGUUCGUUCGACUCAAGUGAUCUCGCGUGGUUCGCGGCUCCUUUUGAAUUCUCUAAGACUGAAUCCAUCGAGUGUUUUCAUUACUGCGAAUAGGAUUUCCGAUAUCUGGUCGAAUUGCUGAUCCUCAUUGCUACAGCUGGGUACUGGAUUGAGUGCGGUUUCAGUAACAGUGUCGUGUCGCGAGUGCUUUCAGCUUGGCGUCGGGCAAUCGGAUAACCCUCUUCCGGAACCUUUGCUGUCAGUGGCUUCUCG